UUUCUAACAUGUAGAAUGUGUUUUCUGAAACUGAAGUCAUUAGGAGAUGUCUGUUACUUCUGAGACAAAUCUGAACGAUACUGACCUAGUGACCAUAGAGUUACAGAAACAGGAGUGUGGAAGGGAACCUGAAAGGUUUGCGAGUCCAUUCCUUUUCCCAAGAACUGCUUUAGUUACGCUGUCUCUUAUCUUUCUUAAUAUGUUUAUUCAAGUGUUUUGUUUUUUAACUUCCAUAGACAGGGAUCCUCCCAGCUUCCCUCAGCAGUCAGCUUUCUAUUUGUAAUCAAGUUGAAAUUAGAUUAGUAAUUAAAUUAUUAGAUAGGUACUCUAAUAGGCUUUAGAUUACCCAUCCCAAUUACAGAUCGAUUUGCAGAAAAUGAAUUAUUAUUAUAUAAAUCUGCCAUAUUUUGGUUGUAUGGCUUUUUGGCAUAUGGGUUUCUUGUAUGUUAAAUUUCUACAAGUGAAAUCACAGUCUUUUUCAUUAGAAACUGUAUUUUGCCAUGGUUCUAAACAUAUGAACAUUAUAUAUUCAGGUCCCACAGAUCAGAGUAUUGCCUCUUUAAUUUCUGCCAAAGAUUCCCAGAAACAUUCCAAUUUUAUCAAAAUAGGGUAGCUGUCCUGAGGUUUCCCUCAUGAGCAGUGUGUGUGGGGGGGAGAUUAUUAUGAACUCUAGGCCUUGUGUUCUAUGUCUGUCAUAUGAAUGUGUCAGGUUUAAUCUUUAUUAAUUCAUCAGGGAAUAAAGAAAACUAGAUCUAAUAAGAUACUUCUAUAAUUGCUUCUUUUGGGAUGUGAUUUCUGAAAAUUCAUAACAAACUGAAGAGCCAGUAAGAAAUUUAUUUAGAAAUAAGUUAUUUAAAAACUAUUGCAAAAUUCAGAGAGAAAAAAAAAAGUGAUCUAUUGAAGGCUGCUAAAUGCUCAGGUGCCCUCUCAGGCUUAAGAAUUUCUUCACCUGGAGGCUGCAAGGGUAUUGUGAGGAAGUAUAACUGUGUGUUUCUCCUGUCCUUAUGCUUUUUCCUGUAUAUCCAACACUGGCUAAAGUAACUUUUUGUGUUACUCACCAUCGCUCUUGAAUUUUUGCUGAGAUUAAAUCUCAGGGAAGGGAAAGAUUGUUCGUAUUGCAUUAAUAUACUCACGUUUUGCAACUGGUUCAUUUUUAACACAGGUCAACACACUAGAAAAUAAUGGUAUUGCUGAACUGAAGGAUAAGAGAGGAGUGAAGUGGUCUUCAAGAGCUGCUUUGAUGCUGUGUUCUGCAUGCAGUGUGCUAUUAGAGUAGGUGUAUAAUUACCACUGUACAGGGAAAGAGGCUGUUUCUGAGGAGCAGAGAAUAUCGAAGUGGACACUCAGACAACUGGGAAAGAUGUUCAGAAAUGAUGCUAUGUACAAAAAGAAGGAAAAAUAAGUGAUGUGCCAGGUAGAUCUCGUUGUAUCUUUUUUCCUUUUCUGUAUUUUUUUUUAAAUUGUAAGAGUUUUUUUUUGUUUUAGAAUGGGUUCCACUGACUUUUUCCCACCUUGCUUGGUGACACAGCUGUCCUCAAUCACCCUGCCAGAUGCCAAUUGCCUUGUUCCAUUGGAAGUAACAGAGUGUACUCUUAAGACAGCUGCCAUCCAAGAGGUCUUUGAGAUACAGGGUAGUUAGGGUGUGUUUCCUUCCUCACGCUAAAAUGCUAGUUUUAGUAUGCUUGGUAGCAUCUCCUGUACCAAACAGUAUGCCUUUGGGCAAGGGAUAGAGGAAAACAAGCUUAUGGCUUCAGAAACAUCUCGUAAGAAAUAGCUAGUCUGCAAGGCUGUGAUUGAGAAAUCAAAGCGUAGCACAAUAUACUGUUUCCAAGCAGUUGUUGCAAAUUUGCAGAUGCCUCAGAUAUCCCACUGUGGUGUUCAGAUUCCCUGGCAAGAAUUCAAAAUUCUCUGUUAGUGACAGGAAUGGCUUAAUGUCGUGCGCAGUGAGGGUGUUAAUCUAGCACAUGGGUGUCCAACCUCAUGGCUUGCCUGGGCACAUGGAGUGAAGAGGAAUGUAAAAUAUAUCAUAUAGUCAAUGUAUGUAAGUAACAAAACUUUUUAUUUUUUUUAAUAAAACCUAAAAAGGAGCAACAAAAACGUGAAACUUGUAGGCUAUUUGACCUUUUUUUCUGUGAAACUAAUGCAUCAGCCUGGUUCAAUGGCAGUGGCUGCAAUUCUUAGUGAGUUCUAAAGAUGUUUGUCAGAGAUUUUUGAUGAAAUUUUACUCUUCCUGUGCUUCAUCCUUGAAAACAAUUGUUCGCGGUGUAUGUACUGCCUGAAAGUGAUGACAGGAAUAAGGUGUGAUUGUGAAGUGAGGGAUAUCUUUCUCUGCUAAGACUGGUCUUAUAAACUGAUCGCAUUUUUCUUUGAGUUGAAUAUCUCUAUCCAUUACAACUCUGUAUGUUCUAUAUGAAAAUUCACAGGUUGUGUAUUUAUGUUGAUGGAAGAUGAAGUCACAAAUAUAUCAAAAAUUGAUGAUUUUUUUGAAAUCUUGAAGCCUGUUCUUAAACUCCUUUAUCAAAAUGGUAGGCAAGGUUGCAUAUUUUUUGUUGCUCACAGGACUGUGUUUAGCCAGUGUAUCAAAAUACAUAAAAUUAUUCACCAUAACUUGAGCUUGCCAUAAUAUAAGUUCAAAACGUAGCGCAGAUAAGUUGAUUUUUACCUUGAAGACGUGUGUUUAACUCACUUCAAUGAGCGGUCAAAAUGACAAAAAAUGCUACAUCUGUGAGCUGUUUUUCCCUUUCAUGUUCUGGCACAAAUUUUCCUUUUGAUUCCAUAAAUGACUUGCAUUCAUUUUGCAAAUCAUAAAAUCUUUUUAGCAUUUUACCCCAAUUCAGCCACUUUACUUCAGAAAAGUAAAUAACGUUCCCAUAAUUGGUAUCCAUAUGUUUAAAGAACUGCUGGAAUUGAUGACAAUUCAGUCCCUUGAACUUCAUGAAAUUAACGGCUUUGAUGACAGUUUGCACGACAUGAUCAAUUUUUAAAGCUUUAGCAUGUAAACGUUCUUGAUGUACAGUGCAGUGAUGAUUCAUCAAAUGUUUUUCCCAGCCGUCACCGGAGCACCACAGGCACACACACACACACAUAGGUAGACUGAAUUAUUAUUAUCAGCAACCACUAGUUUUACCCACCAAAUGCCACAAAAACAUGGGAUGUGUAAUGCACAUGGGUUUUGAUUUGACUGAGUGUAUGUGGCAGAUACAAGAGGCAGAGUCAGUGCUGCACUGUGCCCUCUCCUCCACAACGUUCCACUGUCGCCUUCACAGUCCACACUCGAGCUGUGCACAACUGACUCGUGAAAAAUAUCACUAAAAAUCACAUAAUAAUGUUAAAAGUUUACGAUCCUGUGGGGCUGCAUUACUAGCUGUCCCAGGUCGCAUGCUGCCCACAGGCCAUGGGAUCUAGCACAAAAAUAUGUCUAUAUAUGAUUAAUUUUCUGCUGCUUUCUGUUGCCACACUGUGACCUGGCCAGGUCAGUCUGCUGGUGACUGCUUACCAAGAGCUGUGACCUCCUAGCUUCAGGUGCUGGGCUAAAGUCACUCAUCUCUAUGAGUUUACAGCACACCCUAUGUGAGACAGCUGAUGGCAGAAGCCGUUAGUGCUCCGAGGUUUGGGAAAUGGUUGGGCAGCUGGAGCUGUCUGGGGUGCUGGGGCAACUGUUCUUGGGGGAAUGGUGGGAGAUGUGUGCAUGUUCUACGCAGCCAUGCUGCUGGGGAAGCCCUUGGAGUCUCCCUAAGCAGAAUGGUGGGUUCGUCCUCAUGCAUGCCAUUAUCCUCAUCAGUAAGACUGCCAGCUGUUUAGUGAAUUUGGUUGCAGAGCUCUUGGGCAUGGGUAUUCUGUGGUUACCGAGCUGUGCAGAGGACUCUUUUAAUUUAUGCUGAUAGUUUUAUUUUUCCAGUAUGUUGAGCUGAUGCCUUCUCAGUACUUCUGCAGGAGCAAGAGUAGAAACUAAACAUACACUUCAUUACUUUGCUUAUAAACUGUUUAAAAUUCGUAGAGAGUUGGAUAUAACUUAUGUCUAAUAGAUUAGUUUUUCUGGUCCGCUAAAGCUAAAAUGGCCUAACAUCAAUCAGAGGCAGCUGGUGGUGGUGAGUUAUUCUUCCAGUUCUGGAAAGGUCUGUGUUGGCAGAAAGCUGCACAGCUUACUUCAUCUAAUCCUGUGCUUCAGAGAGGAAAGAGGGGCCAUUUCUUAGAUGAGGAAGGGAAAGGAGUGCUUAUUUUGAUGAAUGGUCCUUCGGAGUGCUAGCUUUGGUUUACGACAGUGUAAUUCUGAAUAACAGUGUCAGUACCAUCUGAUUUCCUCUCAUCCUUUCUCCUGGGAAUAGCAUUGAUAUUCUGAUACUUUAUGAUUUCCUUUUUACAUUUGUUUUCUUCCUGUGAGGGUACUUUAAAUUAGACAUGAUUGUUGUGAUACAGCACUUUAUCUUAAAUCUCUCACUUUUUUUUUUCGAAGACUUGUUUGUAAGUAUUAAAAAACUAAUGUUCUUCAGAGUUUUGUUUUUUCCAACCUAAUUGUAGGCAUGUCCGAAGUAAAAGGAGGACCAGAGGUAACACUGGUCUGUUCCUUGAUGAGGACGAUCACCUCACAAAUAGGGACACAAAGCAGAGAAAUUUAAUGCCUUCUUCACCUCUGUCUUCAUCACCGAUGACAGGCUCUUGGACCUUUGAAUCCCUGAGUUGGAGAACUUUGAUUGCAGUAACAGUGGAUUCCCAGCCAGCCCCAAACUUGUGCAGGAUUUGUGGCUCCAGCUGCAUGUGUAUAGGUAUGGGGCACGAUGGGAUUCAUCCCAGGGUACUCAAAGAGCUGACUGAUGUCAUUGUGGGACAUCUCUCAAUUAUUUUUCGAUGGUCUUGGCAAUCUGUAGAAGUCCUACUCAACUGGAAGCUGGCAAACAUUGUUACAGUUUUCAGGAAGGACAGGAAAGAAUACCUUGGUCAAAACAGGCCUGUCAGUCUCACGUCAGUGCGUGACAAAAUUAUGGAGUUAUUGUAAAAUACCUGAAAGACAGUGCAGUCAUGGGUUGCAGCCAACACAGGUUCACAAGGGUAAAUUUCACGGAUUUAAUUUCCUUUUAUGACGAGGUUACCCACCUGCUUGACCAAGGGAAGCCAGCUGAUGUAAUCUUUUUGGAUUCCAGAAAAACUUUGGAUAUUUUUUCUCACAGUAUUUUUUCUGGACAAAAUGUCCCGCAUGCAGCUAGACAAAAACAUAAUGCCAUGGGUGAAUAAAAAUAUUUUCUGAAGCAGGAGGGAGCUUUCAAAAAGGGAAUCAAGUUGAAUAUUUCUGAGCUGAUCAACUAAGCCUGGAAUAAUUGUGUUACGUCCUAACCAUGGAAGAUCAACAUCAAGAAGGUUUCUUAGCCUGGGAGGUUCCAUCAUCCCCUGUGGGGCAGCAGCAGCCACCAGCUCCACCCCCUACUUCUCCAGUCUUUAUUGAAUAUCCCAUCUGUGGCUAUUGCUUGUAGAACUGUUAUCAGAUUUCCCUCUAGGUACCGUUUCCCAACUCCUUUUAACGGAGCAUUUAAACAAACCAUGCUCCAGCUCCUUCCCCUUUUCUGUCACCUCUGCAGAAGCAGCAUAAAAGCAGUCUUCCACUACCAUUUCCCCUGGGCAAAAUAUCUGAGCCAUCCAGGCUGCUUCCUUCUCUCUAAUAGGCAGCACACCCAACACUGGUGAGGGCAGGUGACCCAGAGCUCUGGGGUGUUCCUCAGGGCUCUCAGGAUGGUAGCUGAAGCUCCCAGGAAGGCAGUCACACAAAAAAAAGCCGGGAUGCAGACAGUGAGGAAGGGAUGGCAGAUCACAAGCCAACAGGAGUCAUGAGAAGAAGGCGAAGUCACAAAGGAGAGCACAAGGACAGCUGAAUCCUUGGUCCCAGGGAAGACAGUGUGAAUAGAUGUCGCAGAGUUUUCUAUUAAAUUUUCAUCUUUACUUUUCACAGGCUGGAUUCCACUUCGUGCAUACACUUGACAAGAUACUGACAUUUAAUCUUAUUCCCUUUCCCAUUCAUUCUGUCCCUGAUUCCUCUAGUGCUGGUGGCCAUCACCAGCGGAGGAGCAGGGAGCAUCCAGGACACGAGUGCCAUCGCAGAGGGCCUGCCUGCUGAGCGACAGAGAGCUGUGCACAUUGCUGAUGAGGAAAAUGAUCCUCCUGACUUCAGCACAGUGGGGGAAGUUUCUUGCUUCCUUCCCACAGGUUGUGGAGGGAACAGAAAACACCCAUAGUUCAGAGGCUGUAGGGAAGACUGGAAACAUUUAUAAUGUCUGGAGCCCGCUGUUUUGCAGGAAGACAACUAAAUACAUAUUUAGCCUCCACACUGCAGAUGGUAAGGCCAGAGUUAAACACAGCAUAGGCUUUUUUUUACUGUGUACAGAGGCGUGGUCCUGUGAACAAAGUGAUAUGUGGCAUCUUCUGAGACAUAAAGGGGCACCCUAACACCACAAAUGAUCCAUUCCCUGCUUGGAGAAGUGGUGCUUGUCCUUGUGUCCUUGCUGGUUCAUGGAUGGAGUUAAGGAAUGUCUGAAAGUCAUUAUUUUUUCUAGUGAAGCCCAUCAUAUUUAAUAAUUCACAAUGGGUAAAUCACCUGAACAUCAGAUACACAUUGCACUGAGUUAAUUUCUAAUGCAGCCAAUAGCUUCACUAGCACCAAGAUCACUCAACAGUAAGCAAAGGGGUAGCAAAUAUUUCGCUAGCAAGAUGCAGUGAAGACCAACAAAGCAACCACCAGCAGCUCCCUGUGAGAGAAGGCAGUGCAGAUAGAGCUGCUCUUCUGUGGCUCUAAAAAAUGAAAUACGCUCAUUUCUGGGACUUCCCUAGCAACUUUGCUCAGACUGCUCAGGUUUCCAGUCCAUGCAGGCAACCUGAAUCUGCUUGACUUGAGAGAAGACAUACGAGGCGAGCUACCUGUGUCUCCAGAUCACACCUUUCCUGAAGGUAUGAUUUACUCUGGUCACUCAUGUUAGCUGGAUCAGGCUGCAUCAAUAGGAUUACAAAUAUUGGUACUAAAAAUUAAAUAUAUGAAAUACACUUCUUCUUUCACAUCAGUAUUUUGUGGAGGCAUUCAAUUAUAGAGAUGACUUGAAAGUGUAGUUAUGCAAGGAGGAUGCUGGAGGCAGAAAGGAUUUGCGUGAGCUUUUUAUCUAAUCUCUACUUCCAAGAUAAAUCUGGGCGAAUGGCUACAACUUCUCUGUUUCUCAGUUCCCCAGCUGUUCACAAUGGGCAUCAGAAAAUUUUCUAUCCUAUGAGAGCAACGAGGCAAAGUACAAGAAGAAAAAAACCUGCUGUUCCCCUUCUGGAUAUUACCAAAGGGGCAAUGGCUUUUUUUGUGUGUGUAAGGAGCUCUCCAGAUUGAGAGAUUUUUAACUGAUUUCUUCACAUGUGGUUCCUAAUGAACACAGAUGGGGAUGAGGAUGAGGAAUCUGUUAGUUUCCAAGCUCCCUGCUGAGGACAGAUUGAUAACAAAGGCAAUAGGAAGCAUUUCCUUGUGGAAAGAGCAGCAGUAUCCCUCACACAAGGUCCCAAGGGCAGUAGAGACAAACUGCUGGAAUAAAUGUUUUUGCAUUAGGACAGAAAUCUGUGCAAAAUCGCAUCUUGGAAUCCCUUUCAGACCUAUCUUACCCAAGUAUGUAGUGCCAUUUAAAUAUGUUAACCUCUUGCUGACAUAGAAGCCAUGUAACAAUUUCUUAUCCUUCUGGACAAGAAAACAGGAUCUAUUUAAUGAUGCUGUUGUGUAUUGAUUGUGUGAUAUUUUAGCAUUUGUUAAAACUCCCAGUGUCUGUACUCUAACGUCUUCCUCCUCGCCCCGCCAGCAACCAAUAUUAAUAACCUUAAUCAGUCUGAAGCUAUUGAUAGGCUAUAAGACUCUGGAGAGCUCAUGGUUUUGGUGAAAUAUUGAGGUAGAUAUGUUAAAACAAAUGCUAGAAACUUUCCAGAAACAGAGCUAUAUUAAUUAUGAACAAUUUUGUUUUAAACAGUGUUUACAUAACGUUGAAGAUUCUAAACAGUUUGAAUUUAAAAAUUAGGUAAAAUCAAUCCACGUGUCUUUCUCCAUAAAGUAAAAUUGCAUAUGAAUGUGAAAUUAAUGGAAAAAAUUUGCAGCAUAUUUGUGGAUAAUUACAGUAACUCAGAGGGCAACCCAGGAAAAACUAUGUGACGGAAAGAUACCCAGGAAAAGCCACAUGACAGGGAGCUUACUCAAUCCUGCCAAUCUUGUCCUUGCCAAACAAGUUCCUUUCACAUAUGUGUGAUUUUCUUUGCUUCCAUGACAAUAGUAAAGCAGGUGGAAAAGUACCUUAUGUUUGGGUAGCUAAGCCAGGAGGAACCCAGUGCAACUGAAUGUGGGCAACUGAAUCACGCCCUAACUGUCCAGCAGCUUGAAUCCAAAGUACAAAGCUGCAGCUCUGUACGUUUCAUUGGUGUUUUAUACAUUGUAUAUGUAUUCUUAUUUUGCUGUCCUCAUCUAUGGAAUGAUCGUUGUGUUGUUUUCAGUUUAUUGAUAAUCUAAGCAUAGAUGUUAAAUCCAGCACCACGAGGCUUUUUGCUGUCUAUCUAUACCAUACCUAGGCAUUUUCUGAGCUGUGUGUUUCUUCCAUAAAGUACCAUAGCUGUCUUCCACGGGGCUUUGUUCCUCUUUUGAUGGACUGUCAACCACCAAAUUCUGCUUCUUAAUUUAGCAUCUAAUUGCUUAUUUCUUGUUCUGUAAAUUUCCUUAUGACUUCAGUUACAUGACUAUAGUGAUUAGUGUUUAUGUUCCUGAGGCUUGCAUAGCAGUGUUUUAACACUGCACAAGGAGAUGAACACAUCCUACAACAGAGCAGGGACUGCACUCCGAGGAUUUCUAGUUUCAUCUCCUCAAGUCACGUAGAGCUUUGCUAUGGGAGCCUCUCCAGAAAUGAGGUCAGGACUAGUUCAUUACAAUUGUUCUGAGUAAAUUUCACAGAAGAAAUGCAGAAAAAUGUUCAUUUACAACAUUAUGUGACUUUCUCUGCACCAGGGAACACGGGAACUUCUCAGUAAUGAACACUUAUUACUGCCAUGAUCAGCUGUAAUAUUUGCAUGAUGAACAAAAAUGUGUUGUGUUUGACUUGGCUGCCUUCAGCGUUUCUGUAUUAUUGACUGCAUUUUUGUAAAAUAUUGGAGCGACUUCUACUAAAUUUAUCAGAACUCACACUAGAAAUGAACUUCACCCUGCUAGCAUCUGUUUCCAGAUGUUUCCUCUCAUUUGCCUUAUUAUCACCCAUUCGGAAGGUUGUUCUUCCACUGAGCUGACUGCCUGCAGGUGCCAGUGCUGCAUGGAGAGCACAGUUCUCGUAGCUCCAGCUGCUGCUGCUGUGGCAGGGCUGGGCCGCACACCAUCAGUUAUGAGCCCCAGCUCCAACCGCGCUACCUAAACUGGGCCCUGCCAUUUCUCUCCUGACAACACCUCUCUGUAUUUUCAUGGACUCGGCCUCCACAGUGACAGCAACGGGUUUCACCUUGAGCAGCAGCAGCAGUGCUGCCAUUUGUACUGAUCUGGCUCGCACCUGCCAGAAGCUCACAGGACCUGGAAGUGCCCUGGCUCUGCUUCCUCCUCCUCAACCCUGCCUGGGGCUGGCAGCGCUGCACCUGUUUCUGGAGUUUGUCUCUGUGGCACCUGCGAUAUUUGUGAAGGCAUCAGUACGCUGCAGGUGGGACAAUGCGUGGACAAAUCCCUUUCCUUGGAGCAAAGCACUUCUGUGAGUUUCAGUAUUAAGGGUAAUAGUAAUCACGCAGCAGCUGGUUCCCAUGGAAACCAAGAAGGGCCUCGCCACACACAGGAGAGGAGGUGGAUGGCAUGCUGGCUUGGGCAGUGGGCUGCCUGGCAGCAGCGCAAGAUGUCCUUGUGGAUGGACUAGCCCAGGGUGCUGCCACUUUCAAAACCCAGCCCGGAAACUGCUGGACUGCGGCAGCUGAAAGCCAGUGGGUCAUCCUUUUACUGUCCCUGGUUGGUUUGCCAUGGCCACUUCAGUAUUUUUAGAGCAGACAACCGAAGCUACCCUGACCCACAGUGCAACCAAGUGGGAUUUCUCAGGAGAGUGUAGGAAGCAGAGACGAUCCAGCGGUGGUUGCACAGGAAGAGCUACAGUACGUUGCUAGAUCAGUGGCCUCAACCCUGAGCUGAAAUAAAGGACCUGCCUUGGCCAAGAGAGUCACGUUACUACUACAGCUGCACAGGAGAGACGAAACGACCUGCCUAUGG